rnacentral:rRNA from 1 species
CCUCCCACCCGUGUAUACCGUACCCUGUUGCUUCGGCGGGCCCGCCUCACGGCCGCCGGGGGGCCUCGCGCCCCCGGGCCCGCGCCCGCCGAAGACCCCAACACGAACACUGUCUGAAAAGUGCAGUCUGAGUCGAUUGUUACCAAUCAGUCAAAACUUUCAACAAUGGAUCUCUUGGUUCCGGCAUCGAUGAAGAACGCAGCGAAAUGCGAUAACUAAUGUGAAUUGCAGAAUUCAGUGAAUCAUCGAGUCUUUGAACGCACAUUGCGCCCCCUGGUAUUCCGGGGGGCAUGCCUGUCCGAGCGUCAUUGCUGCCCUCAAGCACGGCUUGUGUGUUGGGCCCCGUCCCCGGUACCCCCGGGGACGGGCCCGAAAGGCAGCGGCGGCACCGCGUCCGGUCCUCGAGCGUAUGGGGCUUUGUCACCCGCUCCGCAGGCCCGGCCGGCGCCAGCCGACCAACCCAACCAUUUUCUACAGGUUGACCUCGGAUCAGGUAGGGAUACCCGCUGAACUUAAGCAUAUCAAUAA